UUUGAAUUGUAAUUUUGAAAUGUAUUGCCAAUGGAGGCGCAGGUGCAAGCCUAUUGAAAGAAAGCGUCAAUGAGGGUGAGAUUCCUUUUUGUCAUUUGCAGUCCUCCGUGCACGGUAUAUAUUUGACGAGUCACACUCCUCGGCAUUGGAAUGCAAAGUGGGUGGUAAAUUCCAUGUAAAGGUAAAUAUAUUAUUGAGACUGAUAGCAAACAAGUACCAUGAGGGAAAUAUGAAAAGGACUUUGAAAAGAGAAUUAAAAGAGUCUGCAUUUGCUGAACAGAAAGCAAACAGAAUUGAUUUUACUUGGUGAGAUUGUUGUGCUUACUCUAUCAUUUAUAUGGUUGAUGUGGGUGCGAUGGUUCUUACCUUGAAUGUCAGCUUCUAUUUCUGCAAAUCAUUACCCUUGCACAUGAAUGGUAAUUUGCCUGCGGGUAUUGGAAUGCAUGUGUUUGCAAUGAUUUGUGAUUUGACGCAUGUGUUUGGUGAAAUUUGUAUAUGCUCUUUUGUCGAAGGGGAAAGCUUACUUUUUUGAGCAUUGCAAGCCCUUACACAUCAGUGCUGGCAAAAUGUUUCUGCUUGACCCGUCUUGAAACACGGACCAAGGAGUCUAACAGAUGUGCAAGUUCGUGGGUGGCAAACCUUUUUGCGCAAUGAAAGUAUUGGCUGGGAUACUUGCACCAGCAGCCGACCAAUUAGCAGACAGAGGUUUGAGUUUGAGCAUAUCUAUUAGGACCCGAAAGAUGGUGAACUAUGCCUGAACAGAAUGAAUUCAGAGGAAACUCUGAUGGAGGUUCGUAUCGAUACUGACGUGCAAAUCGUUCGUCAUACUUGGGUAUAGGGGCGAAAGACUAAUCGAACCAUCUAGUAGCUGGUUCCCUCCGAAGUUUCCCUCAGGAUAGCUGGAGUUGCACAGUUUUAUCAGGUAAAGCGAAUGAUUAGAGGAAUUGGGGACACGCUGUCCUUGACCUAUUCUCAAACUUUAAAUGGGUAAGAUGCAAUGGUUGCUUUAUUGAACUUUUGGAAUAAAUGGCAAUAUCAGGUGGGCCAUUUUUGGUAAGCAGAACUGGCGAUGAGGGAUGAACCUAACGUUGGGUUAAGGUGCUUAAUUGCUUGCUCAUUAGAUACCAGAAAGGGUGUUGGUUCAUUUUAACAGCAGGACGGUGGUCAUGGAAGUCGAAAUCCGCUAAGGAGUGUGUAACAACUCACCUGCCGAAUGGACUAGCCCCGAAAAUGGAUGGCGCUCAAGCGGGUGACCGAUACCCAACCACUGUUGCAAAUAGUGUCAGUGUGUAGGAGGGCAUGGCGGUUUGUGAUGCAG
rnacentral:rRNA from 1 species